CCUGACUAUACACAUCAAACCCGAUGCGAUUUUGCGACUUUCCGGGGGGAAAAAAGACGCGUCCAGGAUGGAAGCGAGAAGACUGACACAACAGCAGACUGAGUGUUUUUCAGUUCUGAUUAGACUCUAGUGUUGAGAUGUCUGUCUGUCAUGAUAGCAUGUACUGAGUCGGGGUCAGUACCAGAUAAGAACAUUAAACUGUAAUCUAUAAACGUAAGGUAACAACAGAGACCUAAUGGUGCUGUGACAGUGAAAAUACAUAUGGUAUGUUGUAUCUGAACAGGUUAGCUUACGAGCUAAAGUUACUUAGCACAGAUGAAAGUUAAAACAAAGACGUUUAUCAAACUGUUAAAGCACACAAACCAUCGUCAUAUGAGAAAUCCGACGCUAUGACUCUCCACAAGUCGUCCUUCAGGUCGUUAUCUUUGUAAUAUUUGUG